rnacentral:rRNA from 1 species
UGGGGAAUUUUGCACAAUGGGGGAAACCCUGAUGCAGCGACGCCGCGUGAUUUAGAAGGCCUUCGGGUUGUAAAAAUCUUUUCUAUGGGAAGAAAAUGACUGUACCAUAGGAAUAAGGACCGGCUAAUUACGUGCCAGCAGCCGCGGUAAUACGUAAGGUCCGAGCGUUGUCCGGAAUCAUUGGGCGUAAAGGGUACGUAGGCGGGUAAGCAAGUUAGAAGUGAAAUCCUAUAGCUCAACUAUAGUAAGCUUUUAAAACUGCUCAUCUUGAGGUAUGGAAGGGAAAGUGGAAUUCCUAGUGUAGCGGUGAAAUGCGCAGAUAUUAGGAGGAAUACCGGUGGCGAAGGCGACUUUCUGGCCAUAACCUGACGCUGAGGUACGAAAGCGUGGGUAGCAAACAGG